GACGAACCGUGCGAACGUUAUUCGGAAUCACUGGGCUUAAAGGGCGCGUAGGCGGGCCGCAUAGUCAGGGGUGAAAUCCUCCAGCUUAACUGGAGAAGUGCCUCUGAUACUGGCGGCCUCGAGGGGUGCAGGGGCGUGCGGAACUUAGGGUGGAGCGGUGAAAUGCGUAGAUAUCCUAAGGAACACCGGUGGCGAAGGCGGCACGCUGGGACACCUUCUGACGCUGAGGCGCGAAAGCCAGGGGAGCAAACGGG
rnacentral:rRNA from 1 species